UUUCCCUCAGGAUAGCUGGCACUCGAGUGAAACGAGUCUCAUCUGGUAAAGCGAAUGAUUAGAGGCCUUGGGGCCGAAACGACCUCAACCUAUUCUCAAACUUUAAAUGGGUGAGAUCUCUGGCUUGCUUGAACAGUGAAGCCAAGAGAUUUCGGAUCAGAGUGCCAAGUGGGCCAAUUUUGGUAAGCAGAACUGGCGCUGUGGGA
rnacentral:rRNA from 1 species